GCCAAUAAACAACUAUUUCAGAAACUAAAGAGGUGUUCUUUAUUUGUAAAUAUAAGGUCAAACAUAAAAAUCCAAGAAAAUCAUACCCAAUUAUUUAACUAAAGGGCAGCAGCCAUCACAAAAUGAAGACACAAGAUCAAAGCUCAAGAAACAACUAUGGUGUUUAAUGGACACCAACCAAAUAUAUUCAAUGUAGACUAGACCAGCUCUUGAGGGAUCAAAUCAUCCACCUUUCAAAAUGAUUGCACCAUACAUAUACUAAUAAUCUCAAAUCUACUUCUAUCUGUCCCCCAAAAAUAGAAUUCUGAAACAACAGAAUUGCAGCACCUUUCUACUAAAACAAUACUUUCAUCUGAAAUUUCACAAAUCACAAAAUUCCACCAUGCUUGGGAUCUAUUUGCUUUGGGUGAAUAUUUUACUGCAAAAUGUUUUCUACAAUUUUAGGUAUUUUUGGGCAGAUGGGAAAAGUGGUCAAUAGAAAAUGUUUCCUGAGUCAAAAGGAAAACUAUGGAUGUGUUAUUUAUAGACAGCUAAAUUUUUUUUAGAAAAUUGUUUCCAAGAAAACUUGAAAAAAGAGUUUCGUCUUCAAAUGUGAUCUUUUUCCUAAUAGAUAAUUGAAAACCAUUUUUCUAAUUUUUCAAAGCCAUAACUGACCCUUGGAAAACAGGUAUAACAGGUUUUCCACUGUUUUGAACACAUGGUUUCCACAUGGAAAAUACAGAACUCCAGCUUUCGCAAAUGGAAUGAUGCCCUUUAUCUAACAUUUACUCAACAUUUGGCUGGGUUCGAGUCCUAGCCCCUAAAUACUUCAUUUUUUAAGUCUCAUUUUUCUUAUCUUAUUCUUAUUCUUCUUACUUUUUUUCCCUGUUCACUAUACACUAUGUUUUUUUCCCCCUGCCAUAGUAAAGUUUC
rnacentral:misc_RNA from 1 species